rnacentral:tRNA from 1 species
GGAGGAAUGGGUGAGUGGUUGAAACCGGCGGUCUUGAAAACCGUUUGCGGGGUGACUCGCACGGGGGUUCGAAUCCCUCUUCCUCCGCCA